rnacentral:lncRNA from 1 species
CUAAGCCUAAGGACACAGCGAAGCAGAAGAAAGCACCAGUUGAAAACAGGGUGCCUGUAAUCAUGCAGCCUAGUGAGAAGAAGACACACGCAGCUAUACAACAGCUAAGGCUGAUAAAACACGAGAAGGCAAUGCCUUAAUCACACAGCAGCCAGCUCUACUGCCAGCCGUUGUUCUGCCUCUUUCUCAUGAUUUCCUUGUAUCCUCGCAGGCAAAGAAGAAGAAAAUUAAGGAACAACAGAAGAAAAAAGCAUACGAGGCAGAGAAAGCCAAGACCGAGCUACUGACGAAGAAGCGCCAGAGGGAAGAGAGGCGUGUGAGAUACCGGGAAGAAGAUAAGCAGAAGAAACGUGCACGCAGAUGAGGCGAGGAACGGGGUAUGUGCACCAGGAACUCAGCAGCAACCGGGCAUGCUCUCUUGUGC